rnacentral:tRNA from 1 species
GGCUUUCUUACUUUUAAAGGAUAUUAGUAAUCCAUNGG